GUCCGCGCGCGCGGGGCGGCCGCGGCGGUGAGCCUGCGCGUCAGGGCCGCCGGCCUCUCCUUGGCUGUUGGAGGUGAUAGGGGUCGAGGGGAGGGAAAAAGGGGCUGGCGUCAGCCGCCCCUGUGAGGUGGCCGUAGCGUGGACGAGUAAGAAGGGUUGAGUAAAGUGGACAAACACCUGGUUAGGAGAAGAGGGCAGGCCCGCAGCCGCCCUCCGGAGGAGGACUCGGGGCCUCGCGGGCGCCGGAGGAGGUUCCUGGGCCUCGGAGGGCCGCCCCGGCGCGCCGCCCCGGCGCGAGCGGGCGCGGGCGGGGGAGGGGAAGUGAGAGGUUGUUUAUGACCGGGGACUAAUCUCCUCCGCGAGUCCCAGCGCUCCCUCUGGGGAGUGCGGUUGAGGGGCUGUCCUCGCACGGAGCCUCGCUCGGCCUCGGGGGAGCCACGAGAGGUGGGAGUUGGACCCGCAGCGGGCCAGGAGCCCUGUCAUUGGAGGACCCGCCAAAAAGGAAGCAAACCCUCUUUUUCUUUAUCCAACCCCAAAUAGCUAGGGCCUAGGGGGAAGACUCACAUAUCGAUAAAUGGUUUGUUGCCCGUUUUAUUCUCUGGGAAAUACAACUGAUCUUACCAAAGAAAUAACCUGUCUCUUGCCGUGUUUACUUAGAGCCAUAGAAUACCUGUUUCAGAGCUGAAGGGGACCUGAGCCCAUGAUAAUCCAUUACCUCGUGAGAAAGCGGAAAAACUGACUUCAGCUUGCCCAGAUGGCGCAGAGAAUGGGUUUCCCGUAACCCCGCCUGUGUCUUUCCUUCAGCCUCGUCCCAAAUGCCGUGGGAGGGAAGGCACUCUCUGUCAAGCUGCUGUCACCUUACCUGAAGUAAGGAGUCCACGCCUGCAUGUCCGAGGAAAACAGUUUUCUCAAACACAUUAGUUGAAAAACUGAAGACGCUGCCUAAAAUACAAGCUGAGUUAGAGACAGCCCUUGUAAGACUAGAUGGAAUCUCAUUCUGUAGCCUAGGCUGGAGUGCAGUGGCACAAUCUGGUCACUACAACCUCUGCCUCCCAGGUUCAAGCAAUCCUUGUGUCUCAGCCUUCCAAGUAGCUGGGAUUACAGGCAUGCACCACCACACUCAGCUAAUUUUUGUGUUUUUAGUAGAGAUAGGGUUUUGCCAUGUUGCCCAGGCUGGUCUCAAACUCCUUGACUCAAGUGACCCACCCUCAGCCUCCCAAAGUGCUGGGAGCCACCGCGUGAGCCACAGUGCCCAGUUGACAAUUUCUGCAUUAAUCCACAGAACACAUAAAAGCACUGUGGAAGUGGCAACAGGGAAGGUGAGAAGAGGAUUAUCAAAGACAUUGUGAUGAUAGAAUGGACAGGACUUGGUGAACUGAGUUGAUGCAGGCAGAAUCAUGAUAUUGUGUGAUUAAAGCCAUCUUGUGUCAUAUAAGGUGAAUAUCAUCAAGCUACUGAUAAUUGUAAAUUCUAAUAAGAUGUAUAACUCAUUUCUAAAGGACAAAUGGUGUUUAUUCAGUCAUUUGCUUAACAAAUAUUUAUUGAAUGUCUACUGUGUGUAGGAGCUGGGAAUGUAGGAAUGAAUAAAACGGGAAAUAAUGCCUGUCCUUAUGAAGUUUACAUUCUAGUGGGAGAGGUAGAC
rnacentral:lncRNA from 10 species